AUUGAACGCUGGCGGCAGGCUUAACACAUGCAAGUCGAGCGGGGGAAGGUAGCUUGCUACCGGACCUAGCGGCGGACGGGUGAGUAAUGCUUAGGAAUCUGCCUAUUAGUGGGGACAACAUCUCGAAAGGGAUGCUAAUACCGCAUACGUCCUACGGGAGAAAGCAGGGGAUCUUCGGACCUUGCGCUAAUAGAUGAGCCUAAGUCGGAUUAGCUAGUUGGUGGGGUAAAGGCCUACCAAGGCGACGAUCUGUAGCGGGUCUGAGAGGAUGAUCCGCCAAGCUGGGACUGGGACAAGGCCCAGACUCGUACGGGAGGCAGCAGUGGGGAAUAUGGGACAAUGGGGGGAACCCUGAUCCAGCCAUGCCGCGUGUGUGAAGAAGGCCUUAUGGUUGUAAAGCACUGUAAGCGAGGAGGAGGCUACUUUAGUUAAUACCUAGAGAUAGUGGACGUUACUCGCAGAAUAAGCACCGGCUAACUCUGUGCCAGCCGCCGCCGUAA
rnacentral:rRNA from 1 species